CCCCCCCCGUUUCAAGGACACUCCUGCCUAAUAGAUGGCGGCAAAGGACUUUUUCUGUGUUUGCGGGGGGCGGGUAAUACCUGGGGGAACCCCCCAUAAAGGUGGAUCCUCGGGAAACCGGGGUCUAACCCGGGUUGUUUUUUAACCCCCAUGGUUCAGCAUAAAAGGUGGUUUGGGCUACCAUUAAAAGAUGCCCCCGCGGCCCUAUAACUAUGUUGUGAGGUAACGGUUCCACAAGGGGGAGGGUGGGUAGCCGCCCUUGAGGAGGUGAUGGCCCCACUUGGGACUGAAACACGGCCCAGACUCCUACGGGAGGCAGCAGUAGGGAAUCUUCCGCAAUGGACGAAAGUCUGACGGAGCAACGCCGCGUGAGUGAUGAAGGUUUUCGGAUCGUAAAGCUCUGUUGUUAGGGAAGAACAAGUGCCGUUCAAAUAGGGCGGCACCUUGACGGUACCUAACCAGAAAGCCACGGCUAACUACGUGCCAGCAGCCGCGGUAAUACGUAGGUGGCAAGCGUUGUCCGGAAUUAUUGGGCGUAAAGGGCUCGCAGGCGGUUUCUUAAGUCUGAUGUGAAAGCCCCCGGCUCAACCGGGGAGGGUCAUUGGAAACUGGGGAACUUGAGUGCAGAAGAGGAGAGUGGAAUUCCACGUGUAGCGGUGAAAUGCGUAGAGAUGUGGAGGAACACCAGUGGCGAAGGCGACUCUCUGGUCUGUAACUGACGCUGAGGAGCGAAAGCGUGGGGAGCGAACAGGAUUAGAUACCCUGGUAGUCCACGCCGUAAACGAUGAGUGCUAAGUGUUAGGGGGUUUCCGCCCCUUAGUGCUGCAGCUAACGCAUUAAGCACUCCGCCUGGGGAGUACGGUCGCAAGACUGAAACUCAAAGGAAUUGACGGGGGCCCGCACAAGCGGUGGAGCAUGUGGUUUAAUUCGAAGCAACGCGAAGAACCUUACCAGGUCUUGACAUCCUCUGACAAUCCUAGAGAUAGGACGUCCCCUUCGGGGGCAGAGUGACAGGUGGUGCAUGGUUGUCGUCAGCUCGUGUCGUGAGAUGUUGGGUUAAGUCCCGCAACGAGCGCAACCCUUGAUCUUAGUUGCCAGCAUUCAGUUGGGCACUCUAAGGUGACUGCCGGUGACAAACCGGAGGAAGGUGGGGAUGACGUCAAAUCAUCAUGCCCCUUAUGACCUGGGCUACACACGUGCUACAAUGGACAGAACAAAGGGCAGCGAAACCGCGAGGUUAAGCCAAUCCCACAAAUCUGUUCUCAGUUCGGAUCGCAGUCUGCAACUCGACUGCGUGAAGCUGGAAUCGCUAGUAAUCGCGGAUCAGCAUGCCGCGGUGAAUACGUUCCCGGGCCUUGUACACACCGCCCGUCACACCACGAGAGUUUGUAACACCCGAAGUCGGUGAGGUAACCUUUUAGGAGCCAGCCGCCGAAGGUGACAGAAUGGG
rnacentral:rRNA from 1 species